GAUUUACAUAAUCUUCUAACAUCUUCCUGGGUUCCCAGCUAUACACUGAAAAAAAGCAGUUGCUGAGUCUACCAACAGCCUUGUCAUGUGAGACAAGGUGAAUUACAUAACUGCAUCAUAAUCUACUUACUACUUCUUAUGGGUUGAAUUGUGUCCUGAAGAAAAAUAUGCUAAAGUCCUCGCACCUGGUACCUGUGAAUGUGACCUUACAUAUAUCUAUAGCACUUGGCCCUCUACCUCACACAAGUGAAAACUUCACUCCAGAUUUGAAUCCCAGUGGUUUCUGGAUCAGAUCCCCCUCUCCAGGAAAAUCCUGUUAACGGUUCUUCUGGGUCACCCAACCAAUUUGAAUGGCCACUUUCCUUCUACAGAAGUAAGAAAUUUCUAUUAAAUCUUAAAUUAAAAAUUUUAUGCAUCAAGGAU
ensembl:lncRNA novel transcript